rnacentral:rRNA from 1 species
GAUGAACGCUGGCGGCGUGCCUAAUACAUGCAAGUCGAGCGAACAGACGAGGAUCUUGCUCCUCUGACGUUAGCGGCGGACGGGUGAUUAACACGUGGAUAACCUACCUAUAAGACUGGGAUAACUUCGGGAAACCUGAGCUAAUACCGGAUAAUAUAGUGAACGGCAUGGUUCAAUAGUGAAAGACGGUUUUGCUGUCACUAAGAGAUAGAUCCGCGCCGCAUUAGCUAGUUGGUAAGGUAACGGCUUACCAAGGCAACGAUGCGUAGCCGACCUGAGAGGGUGAUCAGCCACACUGGAACUGAGACACGGUCCAGACUCCUACGGGAGGCAGCAGUAGGGAAUAUUCCGCAAUGGGCGAAAGCCUGACGGAGCAACGCCGCGUGAGUGAUGAAGGUCUUCGGAUCGUAAAACUCUGUUAUUAGGGAAGAACAAAUGUGUAAGUAACUAUGCACGUCUUGACGGUACCUAAUCAGAAAGCCCCGGCUAACUACGUG